AUUGAACGCUGGCGGCAGGCCUAACACAUGCAAGUCGAACGAGUGGCGGACGGGUGAGUAAUGUCUGGGAAACUGACUGAUGGCGGGGGAUAACUACUGGAAACGGUAGCUAAUACCGCAUACCAUCAGAUGUGCCCAGAUGGGAUUAGCUAGUUGGUGGGGUAACGGCUCACCAAGGCGACGAUCCCUAGCUGGUCUGAGAGGAUGACCAGCUACACUGGAACUGAGACACGGUCCAGACUCCUACGGGAGGCAGGAGUGGGGAAUAUUGCACAGAGGGCGCAAGCCUGAUGCAGCCACACCGCGUGUGUGAAGAAGGCCUUCGGAUUGUAAAGGACUUUCAGCGGGGAGGCGUUACCCGAAGAGGAAGCAACGGCUAACUCCGUGCCAGCAGCCGCGGUAAUAC
rnacentral:rRNA from 1 species